AAAUUCUCAACUGUUAUAGAAGAGAAGCAUUUAUUAGAUAAAAAACCAAUAUAUGUUGUUAAAGCAUAAAAUUUGGUGAUUUACAAUAACUAAGCAAAUCGCACAGUGGAAACUGGCGAUAAAUCAUUCAAGUUUCUGACCUAUCAGCUUUCGACGGUAAGGUAUUGGCUUACCGUGGCAGUGACGGUUAACGGGGAAUUAGGGUUCAAUUCCGGAGAGGGAGCCUGAGAAACGGCUACCACAUCUAAGGAAGGCAGCAGGCGCGCAAAUUACCCAAUUCUAACAGCAUAAGAGAGGUAGUGACAAGAAAUAACAGUACAAGGCAGUUAAAAUGCUUUGUAAUUGGAAUGAUAGAAAUUUAAAUACUUUUUAAAGUAUCAAUUGGAGGGCAAGUCUGGUGCCAGCAGCCGCGGUAAUUCCAGCUCCAAUAGCGUAUAUUAAAAUUGUUGCAGUUAAAAAGCUCGUAGUUGAAUUUUUGCUAAGAAUAACCGGUCUGCUAUUAUUACUAAAAGUGGUAUCUUGGUGUGUUUUUAGCAAUAAUAUC
rnacentral:rRNA from 1 species